GGGAAUGUGGCUCAGUGAUAGAGCACUUGCCUAGCAUGUGCAAGGACCUGGGUUUAAUCCCUAGUACUGCCA
rnacentral:tRNA from 1 species